GCAGAGUCAGGCUCUGGACUUCAGAAAAUCAGAUUUCUGUUUGUUUAGGCAAUUUCUUUGACCAAAUUUCAGUUUCUGAGGCAGAACUCCCUCUGGAAGCUUCCAUGAGGAGAAAAAGUGCAUAAGCAAGAUGGUUGAUCUUUAAAAAAAACUUACAGAGAGUUCAGAAACAAACUUUCUUCCAUUUGUACAUAAAAAUGAAAAUUUUUGGCAGAACGGUUGCUUGGCUAGGCAGGGAGCCCCUGGAUGAACUGAAACACAAGAACACACAAGAAGUAGAAACCAGGCAACAAAGAAGCAACACAAACAGAACUUCUUGAGCAUUUGGAGGAAAAUCAGAAAGACCCGGGCAACGAAGAAGCAACACAAACAGAACUUCUUGAACAUUUGGAGGAAAAUCAGAAAGACCAAGGCUCAGCUGUAGAUAAAAGUAGCGAGGAACAUAAGGGAACAAGAGUAUUUAUACAUGAAGAAAAAUACCUGCUAUUCAUUGAAUCACUCAGGAAACAGGAAAUAAAACAAUGGCUCAGUGAUUAG
rnacentral:lncRNA from 1 species